UAAUACGGAGGGUGCGAGCGUUGUCCGGAAUCACUGGGCGUAAAGGGCGCGUAGGCGGCGCGGUAAGCGUGCGGUGAAAGCCCGGGGCUCAACCCCGGGUCGGCCGUGCGGACUGCCGGGCUCGAGCACUGUAGAGGCGGGUGGAAUUCCGGGUGUAGCGGUGGAAUGCGUAGAGAUCCGGAAGAACACCGGUGGCGAAGGCGGCCCGCUGGGCAGUGGCUGACGCUGAGGCGCGACAGCGUGGGGAGCAAACAGGAUUAGAUACCCUGGUAGUCCACGCCGUAAACGAUGGGCACUAGGUGCUUCGGGGAGCGACCCCCGGGGUGCCGGCGCUAACGCAUUAAGUGCCCCGCCUGGGGAGUACGGCCGCAAGGCUG
rnacentral:rRNA from 1 species